AUUGAACGCUGGCGGCAGGCCUAACACAUGCAAGUCGAGCGGAUGAAGGGAGCUUGCUCCUGGAUUCAGCGGCGGACGGGUGAGUAAUGCCUAGGAAUCUGCCUGGGAGUGGGGGAUAACGUCCGGAAACGGGCGCUAAUACCGCAUACGUCCUGAGGGAGAAAGUGGGGGGUCUUCGGACCUCAUGCUAGCAGAUGAGCCUAGGUCGGAUUAGCUAGUUGGUGGGGUAAAGGCCUACCAAGGCGACGAUCCGUAACUGGUCUGAGAGGAUGAUCAGUCACACUGGAACUGAGACACGGUCCAGACUCCUACGGGAGGCAGCAGUGGGGAAUAUUGGACAAUGGGCGAAAGCCUGAUCCAGCCAUGCCGCGUGUGUGAAGAAGGUCUUCGGAUUGUAAAGCACUUUAAGUUGGGAGGAAGGGCAGUAAGUUAAUACCUUGCUGUUUUGACGUUACCAACAGAAUAAGCACCGGCUAACUUCGUG
rnacentral:rRNA from 1 species